CUCCAAAUUUCCUCCACUCUGAUUUUAAUAAUUCUCCAUUUCAAUUUCUCUAAUCAACGCACCUCUCUUUCUUUUAUUCUUUUCCUCCUUCGUUUCUUCUUCGUUCUUGUUCUCCCCGAAACAGAGACAGCGAGAGGGAGAGAGUGAGACUGAGAUGAGAGAUUGAGUGAGAGGGAGAUGCGAGAGAUUAGAGAGAUGAGACCGAGAGAGGAUCCGGUGGAUCCGUGAGAGAGAGAGAGACUGAACGGAGAGGGAGAGGAAUCGGGAAGAUCAUACUCGAUCUUCCGGUGGACGUACUGGGUGACGCCGGCGAGACCAGGGAGCGCUGGUGAAGCAAGGGGAGCCCCGAUCCUCCACGAUCGGCGGCUGGGGCUGAAGUUCGGCGGGAUGGCAGUGGGUCGACGAACAGGCCGACGGCAAUCAGAGGCGCGAGGCCGACCAGUUCAAGGCACGAUUUCCGGGGAUAGCAGUGGGUCUGUCGAGUUCGGUGUGUUUCUGGACCCGGAGACCCGAACCGUGAGGACCCGUGCACAUCCGUGGGCUGAUCUCAGCUCAUCCCGACAGGCCGUAGCUCGGUCCUCAACGAGCUGUGGACCCGUGAAUCAUCGGCCCAACCCAGAACCGGAACCCAUGAACCAACCAAGCCUCUGACCCGAAAACCCGACCCGUAACCCGUCAGACCCGAGAGGAAGAUCCGGUUCUUCCUUUGUGUUUUCCAGUGGCUUUCUCCGGUGGAUUUGCUAUGAAAAAUCCUUGGGAUGAUGAACUGUGACUGCACAAAAGGGCUAUGUUUGCGCAGGUACUGAAGAUUAUGGAUUGGAUUAACUGCUAGCUUAAGAGAUUUAAGGCUGUGUAGUUAGGAUUUUAGUACUUUGUACUCGUAGAUGUUUGUACCAUUUACUUGUAAUUAAUAAGUUCCAUGCAUGUUUUAGUGUCAUAUGUGACAUAUGUUUCUUUGUAAAUAGUGUAAAGACUUUUAAUGUAUUUUCUAGAAGAUGUCAGUUAAAGCUC